rnacentral:rRNA from 1 species
UACGUAGGCAGCAAGCGUUUUUCGGAUUUACUGGGCGUAAAGGGUGCGUAGGCGGCUUUUUAAGUUUGGUGUGAAAUCUCCCGGCUCAACUGGGAGGGUGCGCCGAAUACUGAGAGGCUAGAGUGCGGGAGAGGAAAGUGGAAUUCCUGGUGUAGCGGUGAAAUGCGUAGAUAUCAGGAGGAACACCGGUGGUGUAAACGGCUUUCUGGACCGUAACUGACGCUGAUGCACGAAAGCGUGGGUAGCAAACAGG